rnacentral:rRNA from 1 species
UGGGGAAUAUUGCACAAUGGGGGAAACCCUGAUGCAGCAACGCCGCGUGAAGGAAGAAGGUUUUCGGAUCGUAAACUUCUAUCGAUGGGGAAGAAUAAAUGACGGUACCCAAGUAAGAAGCCCCGGCUAACUACGUGCCAGCAGCCGCGGUAAUACGUAGGGGGCAAGCGUUAUCCGGAAUUACUGGGUGUAAAGGGUGAGUAGGUUGGCUUGUAAGUCAUAUGUGAAAUACCGAUGCUUAACAUCGGGGCUGCAUAAGAAACUACAAGUCUAGAGUACAGGAGAGGUAAGCGGAAUUCCUAGUGUAGCGGUGAAAUGCGUAGAUAUUAGGAAGAACACCAGUGGCGAAGGCGGCUUACUGGACUGAAACUGACACUGAGUCACGAAAGCGUGGGGAGCA